CCCUAGCCCUGAUGGAAGCGGCAUCCUUUUUCUAGUCUCGUCUUUUUGGACGAGACUAGAAAAAGAUAGAGUGUACAGCAGGAAUAGCU
rnacentral:sRNA from 1 species